UACGUAGGGGGGCAAGCGUUUGUCCGGAUUUAUUGGGCGUAAAGAGCGUGUAGGCGGUUUGGUAGGUCCGCUGUGAAAACUCGAGGCUCAACCUCGAGACGCCGGUGGAAACCAUCAGACUAGAGUCCGGAAGAGGUUGGUGGAACUGCGAGUGUAGAGGUGAAAUUCGUAGAUAUUCGCAAGAACACCAGUGGCGAAGGCGGCCAACUGGUCCGGUACUGACGCUGAGGUGCGAAAAGCGUGGGGGAGCAAACAGG
rnacentral:rRNA from 1 species